AAAUAACACAAAAAUAUCGAAGCAAACCAUUCAUACAGAAGACCAGCGACAAUUACAUAAGCUACCAUGAUCAUCCUGCAUUGCAUACAUAAGUUUGCAUCCAUCCCCUUCAUCUUCUAAACGAACAGGGUGCAGGCAGUAGAACAACAAAAGUCUAUCAUAGACACCAACGUAAGUACUGUGUUCCCGUGGACAACAUAACAACAUCAGCCAACCAGAAGUGCCAAAUACAGAAAUAAAUGUAUGCCAACCAACAUGACGUGACAUAAUUAGAGCCAGCAGAGAAACCAGACACUGUUGUAGACCAUCCGAAGCUACGCCUCCAUAGCCAAAGAUCACUCCUAUGAGCAUCGAUAUUGGCCAGGGGCAGGGCCAUCACCACACAACGCUGCAAACCUGAAGAUCAUGGACAAACAAAUAUGAAUCAGGAACAAAGCAUCUCGAUCAGAUGCAAAUUAAAAGACCCUCGUAUCCAUCUGAAUCAGUUUUUAGAUGACAAACAAUAAACCAUGGCAAUAAAAAAUAGUACUCCCUCCGUUCCAAAAUAGAUGACCCAACUUUGUACUAACUUCAAUACAAAGUUGGGUCAUCUAUUUUGGAACAGAGGGAGUAGUCAACAACCAUAGGCCAGGAAAUAGCAUCAGUCAUUCCUUUAUCUUACCAUGGAAGCAUCAUAUAUCAUCGAUCUAUAUUGUAAGAACUAUGUAUAAGAAUGAGAACUGGAGUUAUACCCUUUUGCUUUAGUGAAGCAGGGAGGCUGACAUGGAGGCCGAGGAAGCCAUAGAGGCAGUUAUAGAUGACGUCGUGUAUGUCGAUCGUCCACUCAACCUCCGUCUCCACCAACACCUCUUGCAAUGACUCUUUCCUCAUCCAUGCACACAAUCGAAUCCAUGGAGGAGAGAAGACCAAGGUGAGAUGGGCUCGGGACCAUCCUAAAGAAAAUGGAGGUUGGAGGGUUUGAUACCUCGGAGGCCAAAUGUGCCUCAAUGGCAGCUCCACCCUCAUCAGCAUGGUCACGAAAACAAAGAUAAUUGCCCGCACAUCUUAUUGCCACCUUUAUUGUGCCUCAUACCUAGCUGAAGUUCCUGAUAAUUGUUUGCCAGAAACCAUCUUGUUAUCUUGGGAAAGUAUAAGCAGAACACAAGAACAUGAAUAAAGUUGAAAACUUUAAAUGCAUACAUGACAUUUAAUUAAGCAAAACAUUAUUAGUCAUAACAGAAGGAGAUAAAGAAAGUCAGAAGCUUGUCAUUAUUUAAACUGAAUAUGUUUAAAGUCCCUAUCUGAUUUAGACUAAGCAGGAGAACAUCUGAUACAACUAAUAAAGCAAACAUCCAUAAAGAUUUUUAAAUUGCCAAACUUUACAGAAAGAAGAACCGGACUAUUUAAUAUCUAACAGAUGUGGAGCAACUGAGCAUGUCAAACAGAAUUAAACCAACUGUUUCGCUGAGAUUUUAAAUUGGGUUAAUCGGUUAAGCCAUCUUUUAAGUUGAAUGAUAGUAUGGUGCCAAACAGAAAAUGUUUUUUAGAAUACAUAUUGAAUAAUAUAAACUGAAUUUCAACUUGGAUCAUCCGAUACUAACACAUACAGUAUUUUUCGACUUGGAAUAUAAUUGUACCAAACCACAAGUAUUCUUCCAUUUGGAUAUACAUGGGACCAAAAAACGUAACUAAAACUGCACCAAUGAUAUGACAACUACGACAACCAAAAAGAUUCCAUAAGACAUAACAAUUUGUGCAGGAGGGGCAAUUCAUGCACACUGCAAAGAAAAUUCCUCGAGACUUGAUUGAAUAAUAUAAACUGAAUUUCAACCUGAACAACGCUUCCAUCUCAUUCAUCGACACUUGAUUUAAUUUUAGAAAAAGAAACCUGAAUCAAACAACCCAAACAGUGGUAAGAAUAAAUUGGGAGGAGGAGCUCACAUGAAGAGGUGCAAGCUGAGAGAGGAUAC
rnacentral:lncRNA from 1 species